rfam:Ferroglobus placidus DSM 10642, complete genome.
GCCCCGGUGGGGUAGGCGGACAUCCUGAGGGUCUCCGGAACCCUCGACCCGGGUUCGAAUCCCGGCCGGGGCG